rnacentral:rRNA from 1 species
UACAGAGGUCCCGAGCGUUGUUCGGAUUCACUGGGCGUAAAGGGUGCGUAGGUGGCUUGAAAAGUUUGAUGUGAAAGCUCAGGGCUUAACCCUGAAAUGGCAUUGAAUACUGUCGGGCUGGAGGAUUGGAGGGGGGACUGGAAUUCUUGGUGUAGCAGUGAAAUGCGUAGAUAUCAAGAGGAACACCAGUGGCGAAGGCGAGUCCCUGGACAACAACUGACACUGAGGCACGAAAGACAGGGGAGCAAACGGG